rnacentral:rRNA from 1 species
GAUGAUACAAUACCCGCUCGGGGUCGUUCAAGGGGGCGUGGUGGUCAAAUGGUAACUUUCUAUCAACGCUUCAGAUAUGAAAUAUUCAAUGUUCUGCUUGACCAAAUAAUUACCGAGUUAAAUAACCGCUUUGCUGAAAGAUCUACUCAAUUGUUGAGACGCGUUGCUUGUCUUGAUCAAAGGAACUCAUUUGCUAAUUUUGAUGAAGAUAAACUUGUCCAACUUGCUCAGAUGUAUGCUGAUGACCUCUCCAUAUAUGAGAUUUCUUUUGUCCUUAGAAACCAACUUGAAAACUUCAUUGCUGAUGUGAGAGCUGAUCCAAGUUUUGUUAGUUGUAAUGACCUUGGUGGUCUUGCUUUGAAGAUGGUUCAAACUGAUAGACACAUAGUCUUUCCUUUGGUAUAUCGUCUUAUUGAGUUGGCAUUGAUUUUGCCUGUUGCAACCGCAUCAGUGGAAAGAGCUUUCUCAGCUAUGAGUAUUAUGAAGACUGAGUUGAGGAAUAAGAUGGGUGAUGAUUGGUUGAAUUAUUCCAUGGUGUGCAAUAUUGAGCGAGAAAUAUUUGCAAAGCUUGAUGAUGAUGCUAUUAUAUAUCGCUUUCAA